AUUGAACGCUGGCGGCAUGCCUUACACAUGCAAGUCGAACGGUAACAGGUCUUCGGAUGCUGACGAGUGGCGAACGGGUGAGUAAUACAUCGGAACGUGCCCGAUCGUGGGGGAUAACGGAGCGAAAGCUUUGCUAAUACCGCAUACGAUCUACGGAUGAAAGCAGGGGACCGUAAGGCCUGGCGCGAUUGGAUGAGCCCAUGUCGGAUUAGCUAGUUGGCGGGGUAACGGCCCACCAAGGCGACGAUCCGUAGCUGGUCUGAGAGGAUGAUCAGCCACACUGGAACUGAGACACGGUCCAGACUCCUACGGGAGGCAGCAGUAGGGAAUAUUGGACAAUGGGCGCAAGCCUGAUCCAGCCAUGCCGCGUGAGUGAAGAAGGCCCUCGGGUUGUAAAGCUCUUUUGUCCGGAAAGAAAAGCACUGGGUUAAUACCCCGGUGUCCUGACGGUACCGGAAGAAUAAGCACCGGCUAACUUCGUG
rnacentral:rRNA from 1 species